UACGUAGGGUGCGAGCGUUGUCCGGAAUUAUUGGGCGUAAAGAGCUCGUAGGCGGUCUGUCGCGUCGAAUGUGAAAACCCGGGGCUCAACUCCGGGCUUGCAUUCGAUACGGGCAGGCUAGAGUUCGGUAGGGGAGUCUGGAAUUCCUGGUGUAGCGGUGAAAUGCGCAGAUAUCAGGAGGAACACCGGUGGCGAAGGCGGAUCUCUGGGCCAUUACUGACGCUGAGGAGCGAAAGCGUGGGGAGCGAACGGG
rnacentral:rRNA from 1 species